UACGGAGGGUGCAAACGUUGCUCGGAAUCAUUGGGCGUAAAGCGCACGUAGGCGGCUUGUUAAGUCGGAUGUGAAAGCCCUCGGCUCAACCGAGGAAGUGCAUACGAAACUGGCGAGCUUGAAUAUGGAAGAGGGUCGCGGAAUUCCCGGUGUAGAGGUGAAAUUCGUAGAUAUCGGGAGGAACACCAGUGGCGAAGGCGGCGACCUGGGCCAAUAUUGACGCUGAGGAGCGAAAGCGUGGGGAGCGAACAGG
rnacentral:rRNA from 1 species